rnacentral:rRNA from 1 species
UACAGAGGGGGCAAGCGUUGUUCGGAAUUACUGGGCGUAAAGCGCGCGCAGGCGGUCCUUCAAGUCAGAGGUGAAAGCCCAGGGCUCAACCCUGGAACUGCCUUUGAAACUGGAGGACUUGAGUACGGGAGAGGUGAGUGGAAUUCCGAGUGUAGAGGUGAAAUUCGUAGAUAUUCGGAAGAACACCAGUGGCGAAGGCGGCUCACUGGCCCGUUACUGACGCUCAGGCGCGACAGCGUGGGGAGCAAACAGG